rnacentral:lncRNA from 1 species
GCAAAGCUGGCGUGCAAAGUAUGAUUCAAAUGAGCACAAAGGUCAUGUAUUUAUAGCAUGAAUGAAUGAUAUUUGCACAAUUCAAAAAUCUGUCCAAAAUUAGCAAUGUUGAUGGAACGAGUGCAUGGGCAUGUAUAGGCCCAUAAUGCAAUGCAAAAAGGUCCAAAAUGAUUCCAAAUGAAGUCUGAAUGAAGCUUGAAUGGAAAGGCAUUGUGAACUGAAGUUUAUGCAAUUGAUCUUUUCCAAUGAUGCAGCCCUGUUAAAG